rnacentral:lncRNA from 1 species
UCCAAUCUUCAAUACUGUUUUCAUGGUGGAACGCUUGCCAUGGUUGCAGAAUGGGAAGGACAAAUCUGCCCACUGCAGGAAAAAAAGGUAAAUUUACAAGUUUAUACAAAAGUUAUCAUGAUGUACAGGCUAACCCUAGGCACAUGUGAUUAGUGCCAUAUAGUCUUCACUGCUGUUAUCAUUAAUUUGACAUUGUAAAAUAGACCAGUAAUUAGUCGUCGCCUUUAAAAAAGCUUAUAUCCUAAAAGAAGCAUCUCUCUUACAAAUUUGUUUGAAUCACGCAGAAAAUGGCCAUAAUUCUGAGCUUCCCUUUAUCUAAAGGUAUAUUUACAGAAGUUUCUUCACUUUGUUAAGAAUAAUUGAAAACUAUCAAAAUCUUGCUGUAAUCACCAAUAUCCCUGCUAUAGGUCUGUUUCAGUUAAACCUGUAAGAUCAGGUGAGGUGCGGUGGCUCAUGCCUUUAAUCCCGGCACUUUGGGAGGCUGAGGUGGGAGGAUAGCUUGAGCACAAGAGUUUGAAACCAGCCUGGGCAACAUAGGGAGACCCUGUCUCUAAAAAAAUCAAACAACAACAAAAAAAACCCUGUAAGAUCAAAGAUUUGUCAUGAUUUUAAUAUUAAACUUCCUUAGGAAAAGAAAGAAUCAAAUACUUACGCAGACUGAAUUAGACAGAUUCUAUUAUAUUAUUCUUACUAAUUUUGACCUCAAGAGAGAUAUGAAAAAGGCUAUUAUAUUUUUAGCAAUACCAUGAAUAUUGCUAAUAAUAUUUUCCCAUUACAUCUAUAAAAGCUUCUUGAGGAGGAAAUCUGUGAAUUUUGUAGGGUAGAGUUACACUGUGUUUAGAGAUUGAGGUCUAAAAUCACUAUCCAGUUUUCCCCGGGAAAUUCCUUAAGAAGGUAUCACAUUGAAGACAGAUAUUUGAUCUUUCAAAAAGUCCACCAGAAAAUCUUUGCGCCAGCACUGAAACAUAUCAAUAUUUUCUUUUUUCAGUUCUAUUCCAGAUGAAGAGUAACUAGAAAAAAUAUGUAUCUCUGAACAUUAGAAUCACACUCAGCCUGAUGAGAUGCUCACACCGAGGAAUACCGGAAGUGAGACUGACUAAACGGACCUGAGGAUUAUUUCGAGGAUUAAAACAAACAAAAGUGAAAUGACUCAUUCUGGACGGCCCCAGGUGGUUCUGAAAUCCUGAGACUGAAAACUCCAAGAAGCAACCAAGAGACAAGGACAUGGUGUCAGUACUUGCACUGGUGAUUAAAGACAGAUCUUCAACAUCCCUGACGGCAGCAAAUAUGUCUAUGAUAGUAACACGGGGUGAAGCGGCUGAGUGGAAGAAGAUAUAGAGUGCUGUAGAGAAAAGUAUUGGAGAACAAGAAGAGUGAUGCAGAAAAUGAAACGCAGGGACACAAAGAAAAAGCACGCAGUUCUGGACAUAUUUAUGAAGACUUAAGCUGGGACUUCCUCUGCACACCAGCUCCCUCCCCUGCCCCCAGCUCUACAGACAUGACCGCACUUCCCACCUCCCGGGUUUCCCACAGCCGAGUGGUGCCCUGAGUCUCUUCCUAUGUCCAAUCCUAUGGUUUUGUUUCCUUUGCUUUUUCUUUCCUGCCCACUUUGUAGUUAUAGGUAUUUGCUGAAGCUCAGACCUUGGCUCAUUUCCUUUCUCAUUCUUACUGAACUGAGAAGUUGGAAUGCUUCAAUCAACAGCACUGUGCCGACAGCCUCUCUCAUCCUGGAUCGCAGCCCCUAAGACAUGUCUUCCUGGAUAUUCCAGGGUUCUUUCACAUAUCUAACACAUACUGCAUCUUCACUGCUGCAUCCCAAUUUUCCCAGACCCACAAUGUGAAAAUUUUUAUUAUUUGGUCCUGAAACCUUUUGCAUCAUCCUACCUAUCAAAUCUGCCACAGUCCUUGUUGACUUUUAAAAAGUUUUACUAGGGUACCACGUCCAGUGUCUUGACCCCAGGCUGGUAACCAUCGCUUGCCCAUUACUCUGCACCAGCUUCUUUACAUGCAUUUUCAGUCUCUUCGUUUUCCAUGUUAACUAUGCUACAAUCAACUAAAAGUCCUUAAUGUGCUAAUUUAGGAAAGACCUUAACCAUUCUCCAAACUACUAAUGACCCCCACCAUUUGAUCCCACUCUCCCUGUAAAACUAGCUUUUAUUAUUCCACAACGUGGAGCCUCUGUUGGGGUUGGCCAGUAUUCUCAUCAUCCCUCCACCAUGCCAUGUUUAUUAAUGAGUCAAGGUUUGUGGCCAUGCUCCUUUUUUCCAAUUAAAUACUGUUUGCUUUAUCGUUUAAUCAAAAUUCUAUUUUUUAAGGUAAAUUUCAAAUGAUACUUUUUUUAAGUCUAGUCAAGUACAGUAGGGAGAAGGGGGGAAAGAGUGGAACAAGGAGCUCCACUCAAAUGACGCUUUCUUUGAGAUCUUCCCAACCUUCCUGCACAUAGAAACCUCUAAUAUCCCUGAACCCAUGCAGCAUUUUUUGUGCUUCAUGUCAUACUGGUACUACUGGCUUAUAAUCACAUAUACUGCUAUGCAGCUGCUUUAUACUACAUAAUCUUAUAAUCACAUAUACUGCUAUGCAGCUGCUUUAUACUACAUAAUCUUAUAAUCACAUAUACUGCUAUGCAGCUGCUUUCUACUGCAUAAUCUUUCUCUUAGAUUUCCCCCAAAAGGUCCUAUGGCCUGUUACCAAGGUAACUGUACAUUGGGGAAAAGAAAAUAAUCAGACUUUUCAAGGAUUAUUGGACACUGGCUCUGAACUGACACUAAUUCCAGGAGACAAAAAUAUCACUGUGAUCCACCACCAGUCUGGUCAGGUGAUCAAUGGAGUUUUAGCCCAAAUACUUCUCACAGUAAGUCCUCAAACCUAUCCUGCGGUUAUUUCUCCAGUUCUGGAAUGUAUCAUUGGAAGAGACAUACUCAGCAACUGGCAGAACUACUACACGUGGGUUUAGUAAGUGGUCUAUUAUUUCACCAACUAGACAUACAAUCUGUAAAAAGAUCUUGCUUUUGUUUUAUAAUAUUAUUUCUAAGUGAAGCAGAGACUUUUGAAGGUAGUUGCAUUUUUUUCCAAUUAUUGACAUCUCCUGGUACUCACUUUACAAACUAGGUUAAAGGUAAAGGCUAGAUAUUAUUCCCUGAGCCAGAGAUUUUCCACCUAAAUUCAGAACUGGUCCAUAAAUCAUCUUUGGCUCCCUCAGGUUCUUUGGUGACAUUAUUUACUAUUUCCUUUCAAGGACUAAAAUACUUUUGAGUCACGUUCUCUUCUGAAUAGCCUGACAGUUAUUC